rnacentral:rRNA from 1 species
AUCGUUGGAUCGCGGGGGAUACUGCUUGGCUAGGGGACGAGAGAGGCAGACGGUAUUUUCGGGGUAGGGGUGAAAUCCUAUAAUCCCGGGAAGACCACCAGUGGCGAAGGCUGUCUGCUAGAACGCGCCCGACGGUGAGGGAUGAAAGCUGGGGGAGCGAACCGGAUUAGAUACCCGGGUAGUCCCAGCUGUAAACGAUGCAGACUAGGUGUUUGGACGGCCACGUGCCGUUCUAGUGCCGCAGGGAAGCUGUUAAGUCUGCCGCCUGGGGAGUACGAUCGCAAGAUUGAAACUUAAAGGAAUUGGCGGGGGAGCACCACAAGGGGUGAAGCUUGCGGUUUAAUUGGAUUCAACGCCGGG